UAAGGCUCCAUAAAAUAAAAAGUCGUGUGUUUCUGAGGACAACGAGCACGGGCGAUGGAGACCGAGAAAUCCUAUAAUUAGAUGAGGGCUAGAAAUACAACGGAAGUUAGAUAAUAGCCUUACAGUGAGUGCUGCCAUCUUGGACUGGCCUCUGGCCUUGAGAAGUCACUUCCGGCUUCAACCUAGAAGGGCGGAGCCACGCCGGAAGUGAGUUGACAAACUUCCGCCCGAGGCGGCGGGAUCGCUCGUCUGAGGAUGCAUCGCUGUGACCUGUGACCACCACAUUAAGUGUCUCCCCGAAGUCGUUUUUCUCACUCUGGUGAGCCAGGUGCAGACUCGGUGGCCCACUGAAAGCUCGUGCAAGCUCGAGGAGGAAGAGGCCUGGUGGCAGGGCCUGUGUCCAGCAUGUACUAGGACCUGGGUUCAACUCCCAGCACCAAACUGAAAUUCACGGGAAGGAGGAUGUGUUGGAUUGGAUUAACACCCUGUGUUCAGCUUGUAACCAACUGAGCUGAGUCAGCAUGGUGCUGGGUGCAGAGGGCCCACCUCAGGAUCACUGCCAACCUAAGAAGGAACUGGAGAGGAAAAAGAGGUGUUGAGUCUCCUGUUGCUGUGGGUUCUCCAGGAGUAGCUGUGGAGCUUCUUUCCUGGUGUGGACUCGGCUGUUCACAUCAUCAAAGGAGCUCAAGACCUUGUCACUGAGGAUGGCUGCGGUACUUUUCCGGGAAGCCCUGAUCCUUAUUCUGAGCGUCACUUCCUGGUUUCAGUGCAGAUCCCUCAGCCUGCUGGCGCAGAUCCUUCACCCCGCUGUAACAGACUUUCUAGCUUCCACCGCUGACAUAUGGGCCUUCCCAGUGCAGAUCUGUGAAACAGACUUGCAUGAGACAUUGUGUGCUCUAAGGCCUCCAGCUGGACUCAUGCGGGACUUUGCCUUGGGAUCCAGGCCUCAGCUGAGUUCUUUGGGUCUUAAAUGUGUGGAUAGGAUAGAUCUCCUGCCCUUUUUUUGUAUUUGAUUCUUUGGUGACUCCUGCAAAACAAGCCUAUAAGAUGCGUGUCCCAUAUAAAUUGUUUUCUUUGUAAUCCUUGGCUACAUCUGAGGGCUUCUUCAUUCAGCCUGAAGCUUCUUUGAUUUCUGCUCCCGCACUUCACUUCCACCCUCAGUGGCUCCUCCCACACACGGGUCUUGGCCGGGAAAGAACUGCCCUCGCUGGCCCCUGGCCUGCGGACAGCUGUGCUCUGAGGCAGUCGCGGUGCACCCUGCACAUAUCCCGCCUGAGCUGGGUUUCCGACGUCCCCAACCCGGAGCAGCACGAGCUCGCGCUCGGUUAAGCGUGCACAGGAGAGCGUGGCGCGCCUAGGCGACCCCUCCUUCUUCCCGCCACGCCUGGACAUCUGCGCAGCAGGUCCCCAAGGAUGUCCUCAAUGCUUGCAAAGCCCGCCAGAGGCUGGAGAGGGCGCGGAGGGCGGCAGGGUAAGGCGGCGGCGACAGAGAGCGGCCGAGAGUCAGGGUUUGCUCGCCGCGUCGGGAGAGCCACCCGGCAACCGGUGACGUAGGCUCGACGGCGCGAGCGAUUGGCUGGAGCUGGCAGGGCCCAUACCAGAUGGCGCCGGAUUGCAGGGACCCGGACGGACGCAGCCUCCGCCCGCUGCGCGUGCCCCCGGGGACGGGGUCUCCGGGAGGGCGCUCCUGGUGCUGGCUGGUGGACCUCAGGGAAACCCUGCUCGGCGUGUCUCCAUCUAUUCCCGCUGAAGUCCCGGCUCUGCCAUGCGGGCUCCGCAGCCAAUGCUGCGCUGCAUGCGUGAAGGGGCUUCCUGGAGAAGAGGCGCCCUCGGGCUGCAGGGGUGCUCUGGUUUCCCUCCGCGCGCGGAGGUCAGCGCGCGCUGCUCGGUGACGCUCCGGUAGGGACAGACAGGCAGGAUGCUGGCUUCGGGUGUCAGGGUCAUUUAUCUCCUCACGUGUGGCACAAGCUGGCGGAGGUUUUAAUACCCAGCUGCUCGGCGGAAGCCCUGGCAGGGCGCAGCAGGUCGGCCCGUCUCUUUUGUCCGUCCUCUGGGACACGCCGGCUUCACUUCCCCCUGGGUCGCUGGUGCGGAGCAGGAACUUAGUAUGUGUGUGUUCUGCCUCUUCUACUUAGCCUUCUCCAGACUUCACACAUUUCAUGACAAAAACUGCGAAACCCAAAUUUCCCAGAGUGUUUGUCUGCUUCUCAGGCUGAGGGGGAUUCCCAGCGGCUCCCGGAACAGGUCAGACUGGCUCCGGAGCCCAGGGAAAUGCCACUGCAGUGCCAGACCCAGCUCCUUAUCCUGUUGCUCUGAAUUCCAUUCCCUUCCUCACCUACUAGAACAGGGCCUCGGUCUUUCCAGAAUGCACUGGAACUACUGUUUCUUCUGAUUUUCCCUGAUUAAUUAAUUCGGAAUAAUGCUGAGUGAGGGGUGGGAGGAGGCACAGGUGGCAGGGGUUGCUCUUCCGAUUAUCUGAAGCGGUUUGAAGGAAGGGGGUGGGUUUCCCCAUGGAAAUACUGCACGAGGGGAAGUACAGCAGAGUGAACGUCUCCACGUCACACACCAUCCAGGCCAGGGGUGCAAUGCUUAUCCGGCUUGCGGCAGCCUAGGGAUGUCACGGAAUUGUGGAGACAGCAACAUCUCAGCUUCCCAGAGACAAGCAGGGGUGCAGGGAGACCCCAGGAGGACAACCCCUUUGCCGGAAGCAGCUGAGUUCCCCUAUCUCCAUACCCAGCUCCUAGCCCCUCUUUUGGGGACAGUUCCACCUCCUGGCUCAGGGUUGAGGUCCUGGGGAACUUGAGAGACUGGCCACCUGUCUUCUGGCCCCCUUCUUGUUCCCAGCCCGACUCUAGACCGAUCUGUGGAGGACCUCGGGUUUGCUAUUGACUGGCACCAAGGCAGAGCACUGCUGGGAGGAUGAAAGGGACACGUGUCGUUGUGUGGAUAUGUGCGCCAGCUGUGCCAGCCUCCCUUGCGCAGUGGUGGGUGGGGCGAGUGUGCCAUGGGUCACCAUGCUGAGUGUCCAGCAGAUAUCUAGGUGGCACUGCAGAUGCCCUCUUCCCAGAGAAGUGGGUGGGUCCUCUGAAGGAGGUGGUCAGGGCUGCAGCCUUGGGAGAAGAGAGAGGAAAACAGAGGAGGGGAGUUCCCGCACCCCAUCAAGGAGGCUCUGAGGUCCCCCAAGUUCAGCCACCUUUUUCUAACCAAAGCCUUCCUUGGACUGGAAGCUGUAAGUUCUAUGUAAGUUGCCCCAAGAUCUGCAAAGGUCAGUGAAACAGACUGUCCAAUAGAAACAAAAUGCAAGCCCAUCUGCAACCUUAAAUUUCUUUAAAAAUAGGUAAAAAUUUAAUAAUACACUUUAUUAACACAAUAUAUUUUUUAAAAUUACCAUUUCAGCCCUAGUCAGUGUCAAGCAUGAUUGGUGAACUAUUGCGUAUUAUUAUCUUCUCACAGAAAGUCAUUUUUCUUUGUGACUGUGCCAGCCAGUCCAGCUCUGCAGGAUCCCUCAACUUUGCUCCCUGGCUUCAAAACAGAAAUGCCCACUUCCUGUGAAUCCUGACAUCCCUGGGCCUUUCCUCCCACCCAAGAAGUGUACUGGGGUCUGUGCCUAGAUCCCCAAUCUCCCAAAUGAGUGCAUGGCGAAGGCCCAAAUGGAUGAGACAAGCAGCAUGAUCUUUAGUGCUCCAGGAGGACCAAAACCCUCUGCAGAGUUCUUAACUCUGGUGGCAGAGGCAAUGUCUCUGGGAAGCCCCUAUUUAUUUAGUAUUCAAACAAGGAAGGGGUUAGAGUGGAAAACACAGGAAACCUGAGCAGGGCCUUGGGAGGGGUUCAAGAACCUCUCCAAGCAACAGAUGAUGCUAAUUAAGGAGAACUAGCCCAGGAGAAAGUCUCCAGGUGGCCUCAGCUGUGGCCUAUCUUGCCCCCUGAGCAGUCUCCUCAUUUUUAGUUCAGCCAUGCCUGGGCCACGCCACAGCCUGUUAUGUGUAUUCAGCUUCAGGAGGUCCAACAGGCAUGAGAGCAGGUACCCAGGGAGGAGACCAUGCUCAGACCAAAGGACACAACUCAGAACAAUCCCUCACUGUGGACUGACAAUAAAUGUUCUGAAACCUGAUGUGUUGUAACCCUCCUGAUUCCCCCUUUGUGAUCACUUAGAUCUGGUGUGAAAUACCUGCAACGUCUCAGAAACACCACCAUAAUAAAGUGAUCUGCGAAAUCCGGAAGUUUAUCUUGAAUCUACCAUGAAAGUGCAUUUCUUGGCACACAUUUUUAUUAGUUACAUGUACACUCAUGUGUGAGUAUCAAAGGCUUGAAAGCCACUCAAGGUGCUGGAUCGGUCCAUCAGGGACAUCUCUCCACUCACAUGGACUCGUCCUCUUCCCUUUCCAAGGCUCCCAUAUAUACUCCUUUCCCAGGAGUGAAAGAAAACUGGUGGCCUUACAACUUCAAAACCCGUACUAAGAAGGUGAUGCCAGAUGGUCUAGAAGUGGAUUUUUUGGACACAGUAAUAUCUUUUCUUUUGGGUUGACACACAGAGACGAAGCCCUGUGGGAGGAGAGAGACCUGCAGGGGCCGCUCUGGCCCCAUGCACAAGGCCCAUACCCUGCUCCCCAGCAGGCACAGGAGGCAAGGGCACCUCUGAGGCAGCCCUUUGAUGUGCUGGCUUCUUUCUCACCUCUCCUGGGCAUGGAGUAGAGCACCUGAGAGACGCUGGGCUCCAGAAACAUGGGCUGCACAGUACCUUACUGCCUGAGACCUGGGAGGCAGGGUCACAACAGGCGCCAGCCUCACCAUCUUUGUCAUUCUGGGUCAGCCGCUGGGUCUCCAGGGAGUCUGUUCCCAGGACAAACAGCCCUUUGGACUAAUGUGCAGCUGGAGUCAGCAGCCAUGUGACUCGGUGAAAA